AGAUUAAGUUAUUAAGGGCGCACGGUGGAUGCCUUGGCACUAGAAGCCGAAGAAGGACGUUACUAACGACGAUAUGCUUUGGGUAGCUGUAAGUAAGCGUUGAUCCAGAGAUUUCCGAAUGGGGGAACCCAACAUGAGUUAUGUCAUGUUAUCGACAUGUGAAUUCAUAGCAUGUCAGAAGGCAGACCCGGAGAACUGAAACAUCUUAGUACCCGGAGGAAGAGAAAGAAAAAUCGAUUCCCUGAGUAGCGGCGAGCGAAACGGGAAGAGCCCAAACCAACAAGCUUGCUUGUUGGGGUUGUAGGACACUCUAUACGGAGUUACAAAAGAACAUGUUAGACGAAUCAUCUGGAAAGAUGAAUCAAAGAAGGUAAUAAUCCUGUAGUCGAAAACAUAUUCUCUCUUGAGUGGAUCCUGAGUACGACGGAGCACGUGAAAUUCCGUCGGAAUCUAGGAGGACCAUCUCCUAAGGCUAAAUACUCUCUAGUGACCGAUAGUGAACCAGUACCGUGAGGGAAAGGUGAAAAGUACCCCGGAAGGGGAGUGAAAGAGAACUUGAAACCGUGUGCUUACAAGUAGUCAGAGCCCGUUUAUGGGUGAUGGCGUGCCUUUUGUAGAAUGAACCGGCGAGUUACGAUCUGAUGCAAGGUUAAGCAGCGAAUGUGGAGCCGUAGCGAAAGCGAGUCUGAAUAGGGCGUUGAGUAUUUGGUCGUAGACCCGAAACCAGGUGAUCUACCCUUGGUCAGGUUGAAGUUCAGGUAACACUGAAUGGAGGACCGAACCGACUUACGUUGAAAAGUGAGCGGAUGAACUGAGGGUAGCGGAGAAAUUCCAAUCGAACUUGGAGAUAGCUGGUUCUCUCCGAAAUAGCUUUAGGGCUAGCCUCAAGUGAUGAUUAUUGGAGGUAGAGCACUGUUUGGACGAGGGGCCCCUCUCGGGUUACCGAAUUCAGACAAACUCCGAAUGCCAAUCAAUUUAACUUGGGAGUCAGAACAUGGGUGAUAAGGUCCGUGUUCGAAAGGGAAACAGCCCAGACCACCAGCUAAGGUCCCAAAAUAUAUGUUAAGUGGAAAAGGAUGUGGCGUUGCCCAGACAACUAGGAUGUUGGCUUAGAAGCAGCCAUCAUUUAAAGAGUGCGUAAUAGCUCACUAGUCGAGUGACACUGCGCCGAAAAUGUACCGGGGCUAAACAUAUUACCGAAGCUGUGGAUUGUCCUUCGGACAAUGGUAGGAGAG
rnacentral:rRNA from 1 species